CACAUACACAUACACAUACACACACGCACGCACGCACACACACACACACACACACACACACACACACACACACACACACACACAAAACCCCACUCCCACUUCCUGGUAACCAUGGGUCAUCACAGGGUCAAGUUUAGAAAUGAAAAUGAGAGGUAGUCAGUAGUCCUCCAACCCGGUUGGCAGGUGUAGAUUCUCCGUACCAAACAAUCCAAUAAAGACUGUACAUGUUGUUUGUUACUCAAUGCAGGUACCUUUAUGUGAUGCUCAUGUGUUUUUAAAUUCUUCCUCUUUGAUAUUUUCAACCCCAAAACAACCAGCAGCAGUCUAUUUUAAUACUUUUAUAUUGUUCUGAUGUAGUUCUGAAGACAGGCUGGGGCAUGUGGUAGUGAAAUCUAGGUGUCGUCUCCAUGACAUGUGGUAGUGAAAUCUAGGUGUCGUCUCCAUGACAUGUGGUAGUGAAAUCUAGGUGUCGUCUCCAUGACAUGUGGUAGUGAAAUCUAGGUGUCGUCUCCAUGACAUGUGGUAGUGAAAUCUAGGUGUCGUCUCCAUGACAUGUGGUAGUGAAAUCUAGGUGUCGUCUCCAUGACAUGUGGUAGUGAAAUCUAGGUGUCGUCUCCAUGACAUGUGGUAGUGAAAUCUAGGUGUCGUCUCCAUCCAUGUGGUAGUGAAAUCUAGGUGUCGUCUCCAUGACAUGUGGUAGUGAAAUCUAGGUGUCGUCUCCAUGACAUGUGGUAGUGAAAUCUAGGUGUCGUCUCCAUGACAUGUGGUAGUGAAAUCUAGGUGUCGUCUCCAUGACAUGUGGUAGUGAAAUCUAGGUGUCGUCUCCAUGACAUGUUUGUAGAGCGUAGUCCAAUAAAAAAUAAAUACAGACAAUCAAAUAGAAAUGUAUGUGGGCCAUAAAUAUCAGUGAAGUGAAAAGACCAUACAGUUUGAACCAUAUGUCUCUUUAAAUCACAACACCCAACUUGUACUGGACAGCUCGUGUUAGCACAGCACACAUGAACUUCUUUUCAUCUCUACAGCUCAGGCGUAGACUAGCUAAACAUAUGGCGUCAGAGAACUGCCAAAAUGUUGUGCGUUCAACCUUUGGCAGAUAUCUAACUCCAUAUUAACACCUUUUACCUGGAUGAGCAAACAAGAAGAAGUACGUUAGCCCGAACUGUCUGAACAUACCAAUAAUGUUUCUAUUCCAUUUACAUUUUUGUCAUUUAGCGUAUGCUCUUAUCCAGAGUGACUUACAGGAGCAGGAUCAAUGUGUUCUCUACAGCAAAUAGUUUGAGUUGGAGGUCGGGGAGAGGGAUACAGGGCCAGCUAGGACUUACAGUAUGGUUCAGCGUUUCCAUUUGAAUUCAGUCAAUUCAGGAAGUGAAUUGAUCCUAACCCUGGAUUAGAGAGAGUCUCUGUGCUUGUGGCCAUGGUGAUGUUGGGAGCAUGCUGUUACAUCUGAACUGUGAACCUAGUACAACACCUCCUUCGUUACUUGAACUUCUGUAUGUACCUUAUACUUUUAUUUAUUAAAGCCCUCUGCAUUUGAAUUCUAGA